UAUUAUAAGUUAAUUUAAUAUUUAUAUUUUUAUAUUAUUAUUCUUUACCGACUGUUGUUUGCCGCGGACACACCUUAUUAACUGUUGGGUUGCGUCUUGGCUAAAUUGUCGCACUUUGUAAACAGCUGUUGAUCUGUUCCCACUUUGGGUGACAAGAUCAGCUGUAUUUAUUUUGACUUAAUUUUAUUUACUAAAAUCGCUUGGUAGCUAUCUCGCUCCCUUCAAUUUCCAGUGAAAAAGAAAAGAGCUGAUGUUCCCCGCGCUACACUCGACCAAGGGGUGUCACACUCGGGGAGCUCUUCAAUUUAUCAACUUUCCACAACACUUGCAUACAUGCGUAACCAGUGUGCGUGUGUGUGUGUGUGUGCGUGUGAGUGUGUGUAUUCUCACAAAUUCCACCACUACGGCUUGUGGCAUGAACUAGCAUCUAAAGCAGUGUACUUCAAGUGGCAAUAAGCUCCUUGCUCCUUCACAUUGUGUACUCACCAGUAAUUAUUCUCGCAAUAGAUUAUGUUGUAAUCUCAAUGACCAAAGUAUGGAAAGAAGUACAAAAAAAAAUUAAUCAAAUAUAGUAUCAUCCUCAGGGAUGGACAUAUAGCGCUAGAGAGCGAAGUUCGUAGAUAUACAGCAAUAACUACUGGAAGAUAUAAAAA